UCGCAGCAGAAUAAAACCCAAAUGCCUUGCUUUGAAAAUCUUUGACCUAACCAAGCUAAAAAACACGGGAUGAGAAAAAAGUCUCUGUUAGCAAUUUACCUGUGUAGUGUCCCACAGAGUAAUGGUCAAGACAACCCAUUUUUGUUCAACAAUUUCCAAGAUUUUUUUCUAGUUUUGCACCCCUAACUGCACCACCUAAUCUUUUGUCUUAAGCUGUGCUGUGAAUGAGCAGCUUCUUUGUUGAUGAGACCACCGUGCAAACAAACAUCACCAAAAAUGGGGUAAAUUAUAAAUGCACUUUAAAGCGUUCUUAGAGUAUUUAAAAUACGCCGGCUAAAGGAUGCUGUGUAAGAAAUAAACCUAAAAAAUUCAACAGAUACAUGAAAAUACAUUCAAUGCAGACGAGAAAGCAGAAUAAGCAGACACUGGGCUGCAGCAGUGCUCCUGUCAUGGUCACGUGCCCCACACCCACACACUUUCAUUAACCACGACAUGAAGACAAACCUUAUCAUUAACUGCAGCUUUUAUGGCUUGCAGGCUCCACCAACAGCCCAGUGUUGCACAGUUCUCAAGGAAUUUCUUAGCUUUGCAGAUGUUUAAUGCUUUUAAGUUAUUCACACUUAGAUAUUAAGUUCAUAAACCCACAAGGUUUUCUUGGUUUGUUCGUCAAGCCUCGACACAGCCCAUCAAUCACCCCGCAGUGCUGAGAGCCCAGGAUCCCCACCCUCCCGUUUGCCUGGAUGCAGGGGGAGGGCUGUUUCCAGAGGCUCACUGAUCUCAGAAUUUAAGUGAUGCUGAAGGAUCACUGCUAUUUAUUUUGUGAACUCUCACAUGAAGCUUGUUUAUUAGAUAGCAACUCUUAAUAUUUGAUAUUAACCACAAUCUUUGGUAAGUCUCAGCAUCUAGAAGUCAAGUGACUUCCCCAGUUUCUCUUUCAGAGCUGGAGCCCCACUGCCUGAGGUGCUACAGCCACCUGGCAUUCAGGACCUCCCCAACCCAAAUAAAACCCAGGAUGGCAAAUGAUGCAGGAUGAGGAGGUCUAUUCCACCUCCCUAAGCUGGCAAGUAUUGUCAAAAUUCGUGAGAACCCAGCUGAAGCCAACAGCAUUCUAGUCUACAGUAGUACCAGUAGGUCUAAAAAUAAGGCUGUAAAUAAGGGGAAGCAGAGUUACACUUGCUCUGACAACACCUGUGGCUGUCACCAGAAAUCAGCCACCUCCUUGGAGAGUCAACUACCAUUAAAUGAAAACGUAGCACUCUCAUCCUUUGGAAAGUGCAGAGGCUCCUGAAACUCAUUUGGGCACCCUGAGGACACAUCAUAGGAAAGAUUAGCCCUCCAGCCACCUCAGCAAUGCAUUAGCAGGGUGAAAAGAACAAAAACCAUCGAGAAGAGUUUUAUGGGCCAGCCCCAGACACAGCCAGGGAUACCUGAAUCACAGCCUUCCAGUGGGCAGCAUCACUCCUCCUCUCCACCUCCUCCACAAGCAUAAGCAGAGGGCUUCAAAACCCACAAAUGUAAAGAGUUCAGCAGGUAAUGUCCCUGACUGCAGGACAUUUAUGCUCAGUUCUAUUUCCAAAACAGGCUCCAUCUCAGCUUCAAAGCAUAGAGGGAGGCCAGGAGAAAGCCACAGGAUCAUGCAGGUUUCAAGGAAAGGAGGCUGUAGAUGGUACCUCUGUUAUCUUUGUGCUCUCACCUCCCUUAAAACAGAAAUAAUCCUUCCUGAUGACUCCACACCUCUCAAGUCCCACCCUCUGGCUUUCCUCUUUCCCAGCCUCACUUGGACUGAGCUCUACAAGACCUAUUUUACAUCAAUGAUUUCCUAUUAUUUUACAUGAGUUGUUGCAUUAUUUAUUAGUUUUAAAUGUAUUGUUAUGUAAUCACAUCAAAUGUACUUAGGCAAUGAAGAUGAAGGUAUGGUAAUGAAAGAACAAUGUGCAAUUUAACAUCAACCCUUUUUCUAGAGCUGUUAGUGGUUAUCCUUCAUUUUUAGCAACCACAUUUAACUCUUCAUCCUCUUCUGAUCCAAAUAUGACACCAGGGCUAUGACCAAUUCCACUCUCUCUAUUUUUGUAAGAUCUUUUUUUGUACUGCAGUGCCUAGGACAAGACUCAACAUUCAGCAUGAGACUAUGCUAUUUAUCUAGGGCUUGUUCUUAGCUACUUUUCCACAAUGCAGGAUAAUUUUGGAUCAUUACAGAAAAUGGGAUUUAGAUGUGAAAUACCUCAAUUAACUGGUUUUCGCUUUUACUGCUGGUUUUUUUCUAGCAGACAUUGCUAACAUUGGCAUGCCUUGCUGUUGUCAUGGCAAUGAAAGGAGUCUAUAUGGUUUUGGAUGUGACUCAGAAAUCAUUUUAUACAGAAAUGGGACAACAAUUAGAAUAAUGGACGUUGGGUAUUCCUGUGCCACCAGUUAAUAAAUGGUCAACAGGAAAGAAAAGAAAGAUCCCGAAUCAGCAGCAAAAGGGACUGAACAAAAGCUCCUUGAUUGGAUACAAGACACCAAAUUGUUACUUGUGACCCUAUCUUGCAGUUAGGGCUGUGUGGGUAAAGCUUUGUCACUCCUGAGGGUUAUUAAAAUUACAGUGGUCUGCCUGGGCAGUUACUUAACCAGCCCAGGAGCAGAUUUGCCCAAGUAAGUGCUGCUCUUGGUGUUCAGAAAUACAUGAGGAGUUUUGUAUUGCAGACUCAUCCCAAUAAAAAUUGGGAUUUCAAUUGUCUUGAAACACUGCUGUCUCUGUGAGGGCUCGUUCAAAGGCAAGGCUCUUCUCAUGGCCAGUGAGUUCACAAUUUGCAUGAGGCAAAAGAGAAAUAUUUUAGAGAAGCAAGUUUGCCAAUUAAAAGAUGAGGAAAGGAGCUGUGUCAGUCCCUGAUCAGGUGUGGAGGAGGCAGUGGCAAACACUAAGGAACACGACUAAAGCCAGCCCACACCAACCUAGGAAGUGUCUGGAAAAAUUAUUUUGAGCUAGGCUAUAAAUACCAUUCACCUAUGUCUUCUGCAUCUUACUCAUCACAACACUCACUCCUCUUCUCCUGGGGAUCCAAGGUAUGUGAGGGAAGCUGUUAUUACAUGGUUUGCCUGGGCAGAGAUGCCAAGCGGGGAGGCACUGAAAUAUAUGGAUCUGUGUCAGUCCUUAAUGUCAUCCUCCUCCUCCUCCUGUUCUGCAGUGCCAGUUCUCUGCCGGGCACUUCCCGGGCACGCCCAGCUGAGCCCCACGGAGGGUUCUUUGUUAGAAAGCAGCCCAAAGGCACCUCCCCAGGGCCAGCUGGCUCUGCCCCAGCACUGAUCCUCACUGCCCCAUCCUCUGCAGCUUCGGGCAUGGGUCACUUCCUUUCUUCUCCUCGUGGACCCAACACAUUGAAAUGCAGAGGAGGAACCAGACUGAAGGAACCUCAGAUUUAAGAUCUGAUUCAAUCCAUCAUCGUCAUCUGUCCUUUUCUUUAGCUGGCUGGUAACUUUUACAAGUUAUUUUACUCAAACUAGCUCUGUAUCAAUGUUCUGCACCUCAGAAAUGCCCUUGGCUAGGCCAAACCAGGAAACCUUCCAGAGGAAAAAAGCACAUGGGAAACAAGAGGGGUUUGCACUGGAAGACAACGAAUGAGAACAUACAGGGGAAAAGAAAAGGAUUAUAUGUAAACAACUGAGUAACAACUAAAUUCACAUAGAGGACUAGUUCCAAACUAAUCUAUGCAUGGAUAUGAAACACUUGGAGCACGUGGAGCAAGCAGGUUAUUAGAACUUCAAAAGGAACAGUAAUUCUCAUUAGCUCAGUAUGGCAGCAUCCAGUGCACAGCCAAAGUGCAGCUAAAAUAUUGUGUCACAGCAAUAGCUGUAUGCAAAAAGAUAACUAAUAACUCUAUGCAUAAAGGUACUGGAAGGAGUGAAACGAUAAAUGAAAAUGGCCCGUGGUCAAAGUCCCAUCCACAAGAUUGCCACUCCCCAGCUCUACCCUUAGCAGGUGUUCACAACACCUUUAGGGCCUUAGGACGGAGGUUUGAUGCUCUGCUUUCUUUUAAAAACCCCCUUGUGCAAUCCUGUAGUGUGUCCCCACUUCCUAUCCCUUUAUCCCAUGGGAAAAGUCCCUGUCCCCGUGGAUGAGGACUCUGAAGAACCAGAGGGAGAAGCCUACCAGCACUGGGCUGUGGCAUUGAAAGAAGUCAUGGAAGAAGAGGAAUGGAUUUGAAAUAAUGGACUUGUUUAACUGAGACUGUUGAAUGGAGAGAAAUUACAAGUUCAUGGCUGUUUUAAUGCUUUUUAAUAAUGGUUUGUCCUUAUCCCUAUGCUGUAAUGGUUCAUUCCCAUAAGAGUUCCCCUCCCUUCUCAUGCAUAUUCUAUUGUUUAUCCCUCCCCUUUAUGCUCUGUACCCAAUCCUUGUUCCUCCUUCCCAAAACUCCUCCCCUUAUUCACCAUACUCUGGAAAGUUCUCCCAGCUCCCCUAUAAAAGGGGGAGCCAUGUUAACAAACUGGUUCCUUUCUUUCUCUUAUUUAGCUGAACUCUGAGUGAGCUUCCCCUGUCCCCAACCGGGCUGCCUUGUGUCCCAAUUGCUCCCCUGUUCCUCUGGUUUUUCCUGCUCAGUGAGCAAGACCUUUGAAUGGGAACACGUGAAAGGCGACCCGGAGCUGUGACAUCCCCUUUGUGUCACUCCAGGAGCAAACAGACCGAGAUUGGCUGUCCCUGUGCAUUCCAGGUGGAGAGAUCCCGCGGCUGCCCCGGCCCUGGAGCCACAGGAGCAAACAGAAGAAUACAAAUACAUAAAAAUGGUAAAAGCUGUUGUCAAGACUUACAACGUUCAAAGACCACAAUUACACUCAGUACUCAGGUGAUUGUGCCACAUGAAGACUGAAGGCCUAAAAGAUACUGUAAAUCUUGUCUGUACAGCAUAUUCUAAAGCACUGUUUAGCAUUCUUAGAAAGAAUUACUUUUUCCAUUUUAUCUACAUAAUUCUUCAGAUAAAAAAUGAUUUUCCAAGAUAAUCUUUUUAGGGAAAAAAAACCACCACAACUCUAUUUUUGUCUGAGAAUUUCUCUUUCUGAACUUGAGCUCCAAAAGCAAUUAAUUUUACUCUGAGCUUAUCAUCUUUUACAACUCUGACUGUCACUCCGUUCCAUCAAUUCACUGUUUUUUCCCCUCUUUUCCUAUUAGUUAUUCCUCAUGUCCCCUAACUACUGGGUUUUUUAACUGACUUUUCUUUGGCUUCUGUCAGUUCAUUAUUUUUCUAGUCUUUAACAGGAAGUGAAUAUACUAACUGUUGUCUGAAAGCUGUACAAUGAGGAAUUAUCCUUCUGCUUUCGUGAAUCAAUGACCACUCUGUAAGGCUAAAAGCAGUUUUUCUCUUCCCAUUGUUUUCCCACUUCCUCUCAUCCCAUUUGUUGUUGCACUCAGUUUUUUUCCAGCAAGCACCACAACACAAACAAUACCCUCCCACACCGUUCACUUCGAGAUCUCACACUAUUUUUCAAAAGGAAUCCUCUUUCCCUCAGAUGGGGAAAACACAGGGUACAAACAAGACAGUUAUCUCACCCCAGGAUGUGUAGCACAGGUUGUGUUCCAGCUCAGCGUGUUCCCUCAUAUUCUCCUUUUCCGAGGAAACCCCUGCUCAUACUGAUCUGUUUGGAAAGAGGUGGGUAAAGUUCAAGCAUUGCUUUUUCCUGUCCCACUUCACUUCUUGGGCUGCUUCCACCACAAACCCUCGCUGCUGCUGGGCAAAGGACAGGCCCCCUCCCGAGGUCACUUCAAAAUUAAUCCCACAGAGAAAUCUUUCUCUUGGAGCCCUGUCAACAUUUUCAUGUCAGAGAGGUGAAAAACCAAGCCUGGACAGAUGAACCAACUUUCCCAAAGCUGUUCUGGAGUUUCAGGAAGCAGAGCCAGGAAUAGGGCUGCAGUCUCCACACCACCAGGGUUUAACCCCAGAGCCCAAAGGUGCUGCCCACACGUGUCUGGAUUUGGAUGUGCCAUGAGGUCCUGGGCUUGACAGACAAGAUCACAGAGGUUUCCUCUUUGCUGGAGGUAAUUCAACCCUAAAUCUCCCAGAUAAGAGAUGAGCUAAAACCACUAAUAAACCUUUCAGCCAAUUAACAAGGUAGUAAAAGACUCUGCUAAUUAGUGGGUGAUUGUGUCCCUCCCAACCUGUUUGUGCUGGUAAAUCCAUUGCCACCCAGACAGAGGCACAGAUUUCCAUCUCCUGGUUUUGCACUGUUGGUUGCAGGCACGUGGCUCUUUAUAACUUCACUUACUAACAACACUCACCCCGAAAAAAACCACCAAGGCCCCACUCAGCCCUAGAAUCAAACAGGCAACAACUUGAAGUCAAGAGGAGCCUUAACACACACAACUUUAACAUAUUAGUUCACUUUUUAGAUACUAAAGGAAAAAAAACCUGGUUUUCUGGAACUGGUCACAUAGUUUCCUGCAGCUAUUUUUAGUUUGUCCUGAAUCACCUGAGUUAAAGAAUUAGCUCAAGCCUGAAUAAUUGUCCAGCUGAGAAAAAAUGCUAGAAAUUGAGCUGCGAACCAGUUUAUUGCUUCUCAAAAAUGAAUUAGGUGCAUUUGGUGGGGGUUUAAGUACUUCUUGCCUUACUUCUUGUGUCACAGAUGUACAGCAAAUGCACAUUUGUAUCGUUCCUAAUAAUGGGUUCGGGGCAGAAGCAGCAAAAGGGACAAUUUUCUGUGAAUGUGCCUUGGAAAAGAGGAACAAAUGACCUCAGAGACAUCUUCUGUUCACUCAGCUGGGGGUGCUGAACUGCAAUACCUGCUCAUGAUGGGGACACAUUUUUGAAGGAUGUGACCAGAAGUGUUCUGCCGAGCUCUGAGAGAGGGAUAAGUGGCAAGGAGGGGGAGAUGAGAAGCCAGUCACUGCUCCAUACCUGAGACAUCUCUUUCUCCCAUUUUCCUAGAGGUGAAAAAGCCAAUAAAAUCCUAUCAUCAACAUUUUUAAGGAGGUAUAGCAAGUAAAUGGUGAAACUUUAUUCUUUAAUUGCAUCGGAUACAAUCUGAACCUGGCUACAGUAGGUUCUUAAUUUUCUGUGAUGUUUGGCUUUAUAUGUGUCUGUAAACAUAGAUGAAAUGAAAAUAAAAAUUUAAAAUAAAGAUUCCACAGCAAGAACUAUGAAAACACACAGGAGCCGAUAAAACUGAUCAAAAAGAAAAGACAAAACAAAAAAAGAGCAAGACAAAUACAUAACAGUCAAUUCACUUAAAACCCCAUCCUACAUUUACUGUUGAAUUUUCUCCAAGUGUACUAUGUCAAGCUCUAAGUAGAUAGUGCUAAAUUAAUUUAAUUUCAGGAUCACACAGAAAGCAGCAUUAAAACCUUUCACUCCUCUUCCCAAGAGUGAAACCAAACCAUCACACAACACAUAUUACUUGUAGUUUUCUCUUUUGUUUGUUUAACAAAAACCUGGAAUUCUUCUAACAGAAAAAAAAAAAAA